rnacentral:rRNA from 1 species
UACGUAGGGGGCGAGCGUUGUCCGGAUUUAUUGGGCGUAAAGAGCUCGUAGGCGGUCUGUUACGUCUGCUGUGAAAACCCGGGGCUUAACCCUGGGCUUGCAGUGGAUACGGGCAGACUAGAGGCAGGUAGGGGAGAAUGGAAUUCCCGGUGUAGCGGUGAAAUGCGCAGAUAUCGGGAGGAACACCGGUGGCGAAGGCGGUUCUCUGGGCCUUACCUGACGCUGAGGAGCGAAAGCGUGGGGAGCGAACAGG